UUUAGGAUAGGAAUUGGUUAAUUCAGUCUCUGUGGAAUACGACCUUGCUUGCUACUGUACACAAUUACACCCGUACACUUGCGGCGUGUUAAUAAAAUUGCGAACAAGUUUUUGGCGCCGUUGCCGGGGACUGAUUUUUAUCAGUACUAUCUGUUAAUUGUUUGAUACUAAUCUGGAUUUUUUUUCUAUUUAUUUAAAUUAUGCUCUUUAUUUUUUUUCCUGUGGUCCUAAUUUUUGGUUCUGAAGUUUGCUAGAUAGUUCUAUGGCUACCGUCGAAGAAGUUCGUGCUCUGAAGGAGCAACUGCAGCGUUUUAUUGAGGCGCAGGAAAACCGUGAGGUUCAAAAGCAGCCUCCGAUCAAUGAGGCAUUUUAUCAACUUUUAUCAUAUUUUACUUUUCCUGAGAGCUGUGAGAGACGGAGAACGGAGCAAGAGCAAGAUUG
rnacentral:lncRNA from 1 species